rnacentral:rRNA from 1 species
AAUAGAUACCCCGGUAGUCCACGCCGUAAACGAUGAGUGCUAAGUGUUGGAGGGUUUCCGCCCUUCAGUGCUGCAGCUAACGCAUUAAGCACUCCGCCUGGGGAGUACGGUCGCAAGACUGAAACUCAAAGGAAUUGACGGGGGCCCGCACAAGCGGUGGAGCAUGUGGUUUAAUUCGAAGCAACGCGAAGAACCUUACCAGGUCUUGACAUCUCCUGACCGCCCUGGAGACAGGGUCUUCCCUUCGGGGACAGGAUGACAGGUGGUGCAUGGUUGUCGUCAGCUCGUGUCGUGAGAUGUUGGGUUAAGUCCCGCAACGAGCGCAACCCUUGGUUCUAGUUGCCAGCAUUCAGUUGGGCACUCUAGAGCGACUGCCGGCGACAAGUCGGAGGAAGGUGGGGAUGACGUCAAAUCAUCAUGCCCCUUAUGACCUGGGCUACACACGUGCUACAAUGGAUGGUACAAAGGGCAGCGAAGCGGCGACGCAUAAGCGAAUCCCAGAAAACCAUUCUCAGUUCGGAUUGC